AGAGAAGCUCUGGGGCUUCAGUCAAUGACUCAGGGUAGCCACCGAACAUGAUGCUCGGGCAGUGGGUGCCACCUGGACUCCACUCUCCCCUCUCUCUGGGAUCAUAGAGUCCAAGGUGUUCUGUGGCCUCUCGGCCAAUCCCAGCAGCUCAGCGUGCAGAAGACCGAGGAGCCAUUGGUCAGUGUAGGAGGUGCCUGGAGUUUUGGAGAUGGGAUCCACAGGAAUUCAACACAACACGAAAUAAUCAACAAAUUCGGGGAAUGUUAAUCUGACCAUCACCAGUUACAAAUGAUGUUUCAUGCUACCUUCUAUUCCUGCCUUCAUAAAUCAAGGAAAAGAAAAAGAGAACAUAUAUCCCCCUACCUUUUGAUUUCCAACAGUCUACUGAGAGGCCAAGAUUAUUUGCAGGGAAAGAAAAGGGGUCAAAAUGUUUUGCCAGUAACUCCCAAAUCAUCUACAGCCAAGGAGAAAAGUGUUUCAAGACAGAGGUGCUCAAUGGUAUCAAAUACUGCCAACAGACCAAGUAAUACAUGCAUUGAAGUGUCUACUGGAUCUAGCUAUAUAUGAAGAAACUGAGGCAGACAGAGGUGAAGAAACUUGCACAAGGUCAAAGAACAAAGAGUCACAUUAGCAGCUGGAUAUUCAGCUGUGAAGCUCAAGGAAGAAGUCAGGGCUGGAGAUAUAUGAAUGAGAACCAUCUGCAUAAAGAUGAUCUUUAAAAUCAUGGAGCUGGAUGAAAUCUCUCUCCACUCCUCCCCACAGGGGAAUGGAGCAAUGCCCAGGGCGCCCUGGGGCACCUCAACCUGCAGAGGCCAGUCAAGCUGGCAAGGAGUAACAGAAGACUGAUGAAGAAUGGCCAGCAAGAGAGGAGGGAAACCUGGAGGGCUUGAUGUCUCUACAAUGAAGAGAGCACUUCAUGGAGGAGGAAGUUGUCCCUAGGUUGAAUGCAGCUGAGGGACUAAUUAAGAUCACAGCUAAAUGGCCACUGGAUUUACCCAGAUGGAGAAGAAGAAGAAAAGCACCUACCUGGCAUGGAUGCCAUUCUUUAAGUACUUACAAUCCAUUCUCCCCUUACCCCGACUCCUACCUUUCUCCUUGCUGACAGAACAGGCCUCCCAUUACAAAGGCUGAGAAUACCAGAAACCCAAUGUCCCCUCCCUAAGGGAUCAGGCAUGGAAAAGGGAUUCCUCCCCUAAAAAACAGUCCCAUGGAAGAAGAUGGACAUGGUCCCCACGUGACGGCUGGAGUUGCUGUGAGCAUGAGGUGCGCCUUAUCAACAUGAUGAAGAUGGCAGACGGUGUACCAGGGUGCUGGCUGUAGUCCGUUUUGUGCUGUUAUAACAGAAUCACACAGACUGAGUAAUUGACAAAGAACAGAGAUUCAUUUCUCAGAGUUCUGGAGGCUGGGAAUUUCAAGCUCAAAACACCAACAUCCGUGUGAGCCUUCUUACGGUGUCCUCACAUGGCAGACAGCAGAAGAGCAAGAGAAGACAAACAUUGGGUCCUCACAUGGCAGAAGAGCGAGAAAAGGAGUGAAUCUGCCCCCACAAGCCCUUUUUACGGUGGCAUUGAUCCGCUCAUGACAUCAGAGCCCUCAUGACCUCACCACCUCCCAUUCAUUCUCACCUCCCCAGAGUCACAUUGAGGAGUAGGUUUCCAGCACAUGAAUUGUGGGGGACACAUUCAGACCAUAGAGGCUCUGAAUUCACCCUGGGCCUUCUCUGACCUCUUGAACCAUAACUACAAACUCAACCUGCAUUUUUAGCCUGCUGUAACUACCGAGGCUUUUCAAUGGAUUCAACCUGAGAAAAAUAAUAAAGAAGGACAUUGUAAGGGAAA
ensembl:lncRNA LINC00710 long intergenic non-protein coding RNA 710